rnacentral:snRNA from 1 species
AUCGCUUCUCGGCCUUUUGGCUAAGAUCAAGUGUAAGUUCUCUAAUCUACCCUACUUUUUUUUUUUUUUUUAAUAGACCAUUC